GAUGAAGAACGUAGCGAAAUGCGAUACGUAAUGUGAAUUGCAGAAUUCAGUGAAUCAUCGAAUCUUUGAACGCACAUUGCACUCUCUGGUAUUCCGGAGAGUAUGCUUGUUUGAGUAUCAGUAAACACCUCAAAUCUCUUGUUUCUUGUGAAUAAGAGAAUUGGACUUGAGCAAUCCCAACUCUUGCAAAAGAGGCGGGUUGCUUGAAAUGCAGGUGCAGCUGGACAUUCUUCUGAGCUAAAAGCAUAUUUAUUUAGUCCCGUAAAACGGAGUAUUACUUUUGCUGCAGCUAACAUAAAGGUUGAAUGGCCAAUAUGGCUGACUGAUGCAGGAUUAACAGAGAAUUUAUUCUUUGUAAACUCGAUCUCAAAUCAAGUAAGACUACCCGCUGAACUUAAGCAUAUCAAUAAGCGGAGGA
rnacentral:misc_RNA from 1 species